ensembl:lncRNA
GUUAUUAAAGGUGUAGUAUAUAUACUAGUGUUAUUAAAGGUGUAGUAUAUAUACCAGUGUUAUUAAAGGUGUAGUAUAUAUACUAGUGUUAUUAAAGGUGUAGUAUAAACACUAGUGUUAUUAAAGGUGUAGUAUAUAUACCAGUGUUAUUAAAGGUGUAGUAUAUAUAUGGUGUUAUUAAAGGUGUAGUAUAUGCACUAGUGUUAUUAAAGGUGUGGUAUAUACACUAGUGUUAUUAAAGGUGUAGUAUAUAUACGGUGUUAUUAAAGGUGUAGUAUAUACACUAGUGUUAUUAAAUGUGUGGUAUAUACACUAGUGUUAUUAAAGGUGUAGUAUAAACACUAGUGUUAUUAAAGGUGUAGUAUAAACACUAGUGUUAUUAAAGGUGUAGUAUAUACACUAGUGUUAUUAAAGGUGUAGUAUAAACACUAGUGUUAUUAAAGGUGCAGACACACUAGUGUUAUUAAAGGUGUAGUAUAUAUACUAGUGUUAUUAAAGGUGUAGUAUAUAUACUAGUGUUAUUAAAGGUGUGGUAUAUAUACUAGUGUUAUUAAAGGUGUGGUAUAUAUACUAGUGUUAUUAAAGGUGUGGUAUAAACACUAGUGGUAUUAAAGGUGUAGUAUAUAUACUAGUGUUAUUAAAGGUGCAGUAUAUAUACCAGUGUUAUUAAAGGUGUAGUAUAUAUACUAGUGUUAUUAAAGGUGCAGAAUAUAUACUAGUGUUAUUAAUGGUGUAGUAUAUAUACUAGUGUUAUUAAAGGUGUAGUAUAAACACUAGUGUUAUUAAAGGUGCAGACACACUAGUGUUAUUAAAGGUGUAGUAUAUAUACUAGUGUUAUUAAAGGUGUAGUAGGUAUGGUUUAAGCGUGGGUGGGAUUUGAGUGAAGGGGCGGGACUUACAGAACAGCACGCCCACACAGAUGAUCCCAAUCACAGCCAUCAUGAUCAUCAUCUGAAAAACAAAGACACACACAUUAGAGAGAGAGAGAGAGAGAGAGAGAGAGAGAGAGAGAGAGAGAGAGAGAGAGAGAGAGAGAGAGAGAGAGAGAGAUAGAAAUAUCAUAGAGAGGAGAGAGACCAGGAAACAUGAGAGAGGUGUCAAAGAGAAAGAGAA